GGGUAAAUAGUGUAGUUGGUUAUCGCGCCCGCUUCGCAUUUCAAUCACGUGGCUGGGUUCAAUUCCCAGUUUAUCCA